UACAGAGGAUGCAAGCGUUAUCCGGAAUGAUUGGGCGUAAAGCGUCUGUAGGUGGCUUUUUAAGUCCGCCGUCAAAUCCCAGGGCUCAACUCUGGACAGGCGGUGGAAACUACCAAGCUGGAGUACGGUAGGGGCAGAGGGAAUUUCCGGUGGAGCGGUGAAAUGCGUAGAGAUCGGAAAGAACGCCCGUGGCGAAAGCGAGGUCCUGGACGUCUACUGACGCUGAGACGCGAAAGCUAGGGGAGCGAACGGG
rnacentral:rRNA from 1 species